AACGCACGAGACCUGCGGACCUGCGGAGGGAUCAUUACUGAAUUGAUUUUGGGGAUGUUGCUGGUCUCUUGAGGCAAUGGUGCACUCCCUCAAACAUUUCACAAUUUCCAUCUCACCCAUGUGCACAUCCUGUAGGUGGUCUCCCAACCCCCCCCCACCUUUCCUUGGGGGAGUGUGUGGGUCUGGUCUCCUAUGUAUUUUUCCUUGCCAACAUCACACGUUUUGACUGGAUGAAUCCUG
rnacentral:misc_RNA from 1 species